rnacentral:rRNA from 1 species
UACGUAGGGUGCGAGCGUUAAUCGGAAUUACUGGGCGUAAAGGGUGCGCAGGCGGUCUUGCAAGUCAGAUGUGAAAUCCCCGGGCUUAACCUGGGAAUUGCGUUUGAAACUGCAAGGCUAGAGUGCAGCAGAGGGGAGUGGAAUUCCACGUGUAGCAGUGAAAUGCGUAGAGAUGUGGAAGAACACCGAUGGCGAAGGCAGCUCCCUGGGCUGACACUGACGCUCAUGCACGAAAGCGUGGGGAG